UUCACAACCACCACAUAUAGUAAUCAGGUACUUAUUGUGCACUCUCUCUAUAUUCAACAUUAGGAGAGAAGAUUUGGGGUAUACAGAAGAAAUAUGACAAGAUAAUUAUCAACCCUCAAAUAACUUGUAAUCUAGUUACAAAGAUCACACUAUCAUACAAAAAGUAUUAACAGAGAGAAAUAAGACUAGCUCAUAAUUAUGUGCUAAAUUAUGCACAGAGCACAUAUAAAUUUAUGAAAAGAGGCAUAUAAUUGAAGGCAUGACUAGUUAGGAAAAGUAGCAUGGAGAAGACGUGUCUUAAGGCCGAAACUGUGGAAAAAAGUUACUAUAGACCUUAGUUGUAUCUUCAGAAAUAUAGGUGGGAACAUGCUAGAUACUCCCUUUAGUGACUGUUUAAUGUUAAUGUUUGCACACAGGAGGCCUUUAUGGCUCACCAAAUCUACAGAGAUUUAAAUGUUAUGCAACAGUUUAUUUUUGAAACCCUAGCAGGUACCAUAAUAAUUUUAUGUAUAAAAAUAGUUUUAAGAUCACUGAUUUGUUUUAAUCUGUUUGUUGAAGACAGCGUACUCAGCAAUUUUCAGCAUAAAUGAAUAAUAUCCAUAUGCCUAAAAUAUUUUUUGUACCAUAUCAGAAUAAAUUUUGAAUUCAGGCUCAUAAAACUCUUACAAAAUGGGGCAUACUUUGAAGUGGAUAUUUCUUAAACUUAGAGUAAAUCGUGUUCCUGAAAAAGGCACUGAAAUAAAAACUAUGUGGAUCUAGAAAGGAUAUGUCACUGGUAGACGGUUGUGACUGCAAGUUCUCCAGGUUCUUGGAGUUUUAAACGAACAAUUGCACAAAAGGCCCAGCAAAGCAAAGAAAGAAUGAAGCAACAAAAGAACGAAAGCAGGCAUUUAUCGAAAACGAAAGUGCAUUCCAUAGUGUGGGAGCCUGCCGGAUACAGAAUAUUCCUGGGUCCAAAUAUCCCCUAGAAGUUUCCCAUUGGCCACUUCAUGCUCACCUCAUGUAAAUGAAGUGGUAGCCCACAAUCAGUCUGAUUGGUUGCAGAGAACAGCCAACCAGAGGCUGAAGUGAAGUUACAAAGGUCACACUCCUAUGCAAACAUCUGAUUGGUUGCAAAAAGCAACCAAUCAGAGGCUAGGGUGAAGUUACAAAGUUAUACUUCUAUGCAAACCAAGACUCGGCCCGCAAUCAGUCUGAUUUUUUGCAGACAGCCAAUUUCUCAUCUGCUUCAUAGAAAAGGUUAAAGGGAGUAGCCUCUGGUCCUUUUGUUACUUAGGCGUGGAAAGUUAGGGAUUUCCUUUCAAUUUAGUUAUAGGAAGUCGGCGUGAAACAGCUUUAAGUUCCCUGCCUCCAGAACCUAUUCUCCUGCCUCAAUUGUGCAAUUAGGGGAAAUGUCAUAAUGAAGGGCGGCAUCCCCUAUUAUGGACUUUCAUUCACUCAACCAUUCAUCUAUUUAUGUAUUAAAUAAUUUGUUCUGUGCUAGUGCUGUGCUAAGUACUAAUUAUAAAAUGCUGAAUAAAACAGACCUUGCUUUUACCCACAGGGAGUUGAGUCUAGUUAGAAAGGAAGAAAAUAAACAAGCAAACAAACAAAUAAAUGUAGAAUUAUGUAAGUUGCUAUGAGCUAUUUAAAUAAAAGGAGCCAAGAGAGAUAAUAACAAUGGAGGCCAGGGAAUCUACUAACCUAGGCUGCCUCAACAAAGACUUCUUAUAAGGAGGCGAUGAUUUUAAAAAGAAAAUUUUGUGAAAACCCUGUGAAACAACAUUGGAGUCAGAAGGGCCAACAGGUGCAUAUUCAAGGAAUGGAAAAGCCACUCUGGCUGGGGUAUAAGAAUAAAAUAAGAGAGUGGCAUGAAGUAAGAUUGAAGAGGCAGCAGUGGCUAAACGUCAUGGGCUGCCAUAAAUCACUAGGACUUUACUGUAAGUGCAUCAAAUGACAUUGUUGGGUUUGAAGAGGACAAGAGACACAACCUGAUUUACAUGCUAUAAAGAUUAUUCUAGAUUAUUUCUAGAGAAAGAAUUAGAGGGAGAUGAGAGAGAACAGGCAUAAAUCCAGUGCUUGUCUUCAUAUCAAAUAAACUAAAAAUUGUAUGCCUUUACUUCACAUGGCAUGAUGCUUUUGGAAAUAUGUUUAAUGAAUGGGGCAGUAGAGUGACCCCUGGAAUGUAAAGUCUAUGAGAGCAGGGACUUUGUUUCUCUUACCAUAUAUAAGAGGUACUUAGCUUAAUACAGUACCUAGCAAUUCGUCAAAAAUAUUUGCUGAAUCAAUUAACUCAUAAGUGAAUAAUAUAAUUUUGAUUUAAUGUUAGUUAUAUAAGUGAUUUCUAAAAACAAUGACUAUCACUUGAAGAAAAACUGUGGUGUCUCAAUGCAGCAGAAUUUUUAAAACAUUCUAUGCAUGGGGGUAGGAUCAAAUAAUGUCAAAGAGAAGGAUGAGAACAACUUUACUUUAAAAGGAAGAAAAUAGUACGCGAAACAUCAAGGAAUCAUACAACUUGUGUACUGCCUAUUAUAAAUACAAAAGUUAGUAACAUGAGUAUAAUAGACAAAGCGGUGUAACUGUGCAUUAUUCUGAAGUUAAUUGCUCUGAAAUAAGAAAUGCUUGUAUUAGACUGGUGCAAAAGAGAUUGCGAUUUUUGCCAUUAAAAGUAAUGGCAAUUACUUUUGUCCCAACCUAUAACAAGGUCAGCAGAAGAUUACAACAAAGGAAAAACUAGGAAGCAAAAAUGAUUCCUUGGCAACAUGUAUAAUAAACACAAUUACUGGAUAUGCUGUACAUUUUUUUUUUUUUAAAAAAGGGGAAAGGAACCCAAACAAAACACUAUCCUUAACACGUCAAACAUUAAUUAGUUGACUUGUCUAUCCUAACAUUAUUAUCUAGUUAGCAUUUAUCUAGAAAAAAGACAAUAGUUUUCUACAUAAACAGCUUUUCUUUAAAAUGUUUUUACUAUUUUCCCAUAUAUAUAGUGAUUUUGAAAUCUAUUAAAUGCUAUAACUGAGAUUGCAAGCUUUGCAAUACAUAUUGGAAUUGAUAAAAAUGUACAAGAAUCUAAUGUGCAUAUCUGUACAAGAUCCACUUUCCAACACAGUAAUAAUUAAGGAAUUAAUGGCAAAUAUCAGAGUUGGCUCACAUUUAGCACUAAUCAUUUGUUAAUGCUCCCUAAAUCUAUGGGAAUAUAUUUAUAACAAAUAGAAAGGUGCAGCUCAAAAACAGUUCCAGCAUCUCCACAAACAUCAGUAACUAACACAACACAAAGAGGAAACUGAAUAUAAUACUCAACAAAAAAAAUUUCCAUUUUAAAAGUAAGGAAUACAAACAUUUCAAGACUAUUAUGGCUCAUAUGGUUGCUAAUGCAACCAGUACUAUGUUUCUUGGCAAAUCAUUUACCAAUGUCAUUUGUUGCCACUUCUCAAAAUUAGGAUUCCACAGUUUAAUGGAUCUAUGCUUCAAGUGGAAAUCUGUAAUUUGAAAGCACAGCAAGUGCAGUCUUGUUCACAGCAUCACAAAUCUGUGGACCUGUAGUUUUGUCUAUGACACAACAAUGUGCAAUGUUGUAAUCUAUUAGUUCUGCCUUGCUUCUGUCCUUUCAAAUGAUUUUCAGCAGUGAAGACUUAUAACAUCUGUAUUAUUUUUGUGUUUAUAAUGAAACACACACUCAUUUUAGACUAGCUCUUAUUAUAAAUAUGACUCUACUCAUAACAAUGCUUUGGUUAUGAAUAAGUUUUCUAUAUAUUCCUGGAAGAGCAACAUCUUCAGGCUUAGAUCAGAUUUGUUUUUCAUGUUCUGGGGAGUUUUCUGGGACCAUAAUAGAUGUAUAAUGACUCAAGACUUACGUCUACUCAUAGAUUGUCUCUUGAUUUCUUUUCAGUGAAGUCCUAUUCCCAUGUUCCUUUACCUUGAACAACAUUUCAUACAAUGCACAGGUACAAAGGUAUUUGAAAAAACUCUCUCCUCAGCACUACAGGCUUUAGAGAAGAGCCCAGACUGUUGACAUAUAUAUUUCAGUCUUGACACUAACAAGAUAACUCCGUUGAUCCCACCUGGGCUUCUGACCUAUAGAGACGCAGAGAAUUAAAUGCUAGAGAACUGGAGCCGCAGAUUUUGCACCUGAGUGAUUAAAGAAGCCACCAAAAAAAGAGGUAUACAAACACACACACACACACACACACACACACACACACACACAACCUUCUGACCUAUUUUGUCCUGGAAAUAAAUAAACAUACUGAAUGAAAUAUGCUUUUUAAAAACAUUAUAAAUUCAUCCAUUAGCUGGUAGGAAAGUGAAAAUAUUAAAAUUCUAAAACUUAAUUAAAAGCAGAAAAAUAUUGGUCUGCUCUUAAGAUACUUUCCAUACCAGAUAACCUUGUGCUUCAGUUUUCACCAACUCACAGGUAAAGUGGUACAGGAAAAAAAUCCCAAAGACCACCCACAAUUCAGAGUCUAAUAGAAUAAGCCUUCCCUCACCAAAUAAAGUUGGAGCUCACAAGUGUUUUACCCUUAGUAUUAAGUGUGAACAAGAAGUAAACAUAUACAUUCAGGGGACUAGAAAGUGAACUUGCUGGUUUUGAACAAUCAUGCUAAGUAGAAGAAAAAAAACUACAUUUCCCUUGAUAAUUUAUAGCAAUAACGUUGCCCUCAUAUGGCUUUGCAGCCUACAUUUUGUACUACCGGAGUGGUCCAAAGAACAUCAUGUUUAGAGUUUAAUUAAAAUUGUUCCUAAUUGGAAAUGCUCCAAGAUGCAUGGAAGAAUCAAUCCCAAAACAGUUUUUGGAAGGAUAAGAGGUUAAGAAAGAUGGAUAUUAGUAUACAAAUAUCAGAAUUUUAGAAGGAGAGGAAAGGGAGAAUGAAGCAAAGGCAAUAUGUAAAGAGACAAUUACUGAUAUUUUCCCCAAACUGAUAAAAGACAAUCUUCUACAGAUUCAGAUAUUCUAAUGAGUCCCAAGCAUGGUAAUUAAAGAAAAUAUACAACGCAUCUGCAGAAUUCAGUCUAUAGAAAAAAAUGUAAAUUGUAUGAAAAAGCAAAGUAUAUAGAUGAAGAGACUUAAAAGAGACUUAAAAAUAUAUUAACCAAUUAUAAUGAAUGUUAUUUGAUGCUGAUUCAAACAAACAGGUUAAUAUGGUUUGAAUAUUUGUCCCCUCCAAAUCUGAUGUUGAAAUGUGACCUCUAGUAUUGGAGGUGGGGCCUAGUGAGAGGUGUUGCAUCAUGGAGGCUGAUCCCUUAUGAAUGGCUUAGCACUAUCCCCUUGGUGAUGAGUGAGUUCUUCCUCAAUGAAUUCAUAUGAGAUCUGGUUAUUUAAAAAAAUGUUUCACCUUCUCCCAUCUCUCUCACUCCUGCUUUUGCCAUGUGAUACCACCUGCUCUUCCUUUGCCUUCCACCAUGAUUGUAAGCUUCCUGAGACCCUCACCAGAAGCAGAUGCUGGAGCCAUGCUUGUACAGCCUACAGAACAGUGAGCCAAUUAAAA
rnacentral:lncRNA from 1 species